rnacentral:rRNA from 1 species
GAUGAACGCUGGCGGCGUGCCUAAUACAUGCAAGUCGAGCGAACAGACGAGGAGCUUGCUCCUCUGACGUUAGCGGCGGACGGGUGAGUAACACGUGGAUAACCUACCUAUAAGACUGGGAUAACUUCGGGAAACCGGAGCUAAUACCGGAUAAUAUAUUGAACCGCAUGGUUCAAUAGUGAAAGACGGUUUUGCUGUCACUUAUAGAUGGAUCCGCGCCGCAGUAGCUAGUUGGUAAGGUAACGGCUUACCAAGGCGACGAUGCGUAGCCGACCUGAGAGGGUGAUCGGCCACACUGGAACUGAGACACGGUCCAGACUCCUACGGGAGGCAGCAGUAGGGAAUCUUCCGCAAUGGGCGAAAGCGUGACGGAGCAACGCCGCGUGAGUGAUGAAGGUCUUCGGAUCGUAAAACUCUGUUAUUAGGGAAGAACAAAUGUGUAAGUAACUAUGCACGUCUUGACGGUACCUAAUCAGAAAGCCACGGCUAACUACGUG